AUUAACCUGACACUAGCCCUAGUAACCGACACCUUAAUGGCCCUAUUACUACUAAUAAUUACAUUUUGGCUCCCACAACUUAACAUUUAUAUAGAAAAAUAUAGCCUCUAUGAAUGCGGAUUUGACCCAAUAACCUCCACCCACCUCCCCUUUUCCAUAAAAUUUUUCCUAGUAGCCAUCACAUUUCUCCUCUUUGACUUAGAAAUCGCUCUACUACUGCUCCUACCAUGAGCCCAUCAAACAACCUGACACUAACAAUCAGCACAGCCCUUCUACUAGUUAUCAUUUUAAUCCUAGGCUUAACUUAUGAAUGAACCCAAAAAGGAUUAGACUGAGUUGAA
rnacentral:lncRNA from 1 species